UACGUAGGGACCAAGCGUUGUUCGGAUUUACUGGGCGUAAAGGGCGCGUAGGCGGCGCGGUAAGUCACUUGUGAAAUCUCUGAGCUUAACUCAGAACGGCCAAGUGAUACUGCAGUGCUAGAGUGUGGAAGGGGCAAUCGGAAUUCUUGGUGUAGCGGUGAAAUGCGCAGAUAUCGGGAGGAACACCAAUGGCGAAGGCAGCUCGCUGGGACGGUACUGACGCUGAGGCGCGAAAGCGUGGGGAGCAAACAGG
rnacentral:rRNA from 1 species